rnacentral:lncRNA from 1 species
GCACGCGCGCUACGUCCCUCAGACUGGCUGCCCCCGAGGGUUCGCGUGAGCGGAGCACGGGGCUCGGGGUGCGGGGGGCUGGUGUGAUGGACGCAUUUGUUCUUCGGUCCCUGACGAUUGUUUCUCAUUUGCCCUCCAAGCCCCAAAUCCUGUCAGUCCACGGCCUUGAUGGAGCGGCCCCCGUGGGACGACCCUGUUGAUUGUGCUAGCGGAUGUUGUCUCCAUUCUGGAUCUGGGAAAAACUGUGGAGUGAAAGCCGGACCUGUUAGGGUUGGGACCUGAAAGCGGACUUUUUCGCUCUCAGACGGGCCCCAGGAAUUUCAUGUUUAACAGAGGUGUCUUCAAGGAGAUGAAACAAUUCAGAAUGACCUAGGCAAUGGGGUAAUUCCUAAGGAACAAGCUAUUCAUUCAUACAGCAUGGACGAAUAUUAAAUGCAUGUUGCUGAGUGAAAGAAGCCAGAAUGAUAAGGCUACAUCCUGGAAAAGUUUAUAUUCUGGAAAAGGCAAAACUUAUAGAGACAGAAACAAAUCAGCCAGUUGUUGCUGGGGUUUGGGAGAGAAGAAUGUUGACUAUGUGAAGAACAAGGGAUCUUGGGGGGCAUCUAUUCCAUAUGCUACUGUAGGGGUGGAUGCAUGAUACUAUCAUUUGUGGAAAACCAUAGAACUUUACAAAACUAACAGUGAACCUUAAUGUCUGCAAAAUUUUACAAAAUCAACUAGGAGGCUGGGGGAUCCCAGGAUGAAAUACAGGCAAUGACAAAAGAGCCUAACUCUAUUACACAUUUAUAACAUAACCGCACCGAAGAGGACUGGUAUUCUAUAACUGUGGAAAUAAUGGAAACUGGAAAACUGAAGACAAAAGGAACUGUACUUAGCACUAUACUCUAGUUGGUAAAGGCGUUUCUCAAGGGGUACCAGUUAACAAUUCUGAGACUGCUGUACAUGUAUGCAGAGACUGAACAAAUAAGUAAAUGGCUGGUACAUGCUCACUCUCAGGGAGGGAGGCCACAGAUAAACAAGAGGAAGAGGCUCUAAUGUCAUGUGUGGUUGUGGAUUAGAACCAGAAACAUAAAUAUGAACUCAUGUUUAGAUUAAUAUAGAUAUUAAUGGAUUGAUAUAGAAAUAAUGAUGAUAUGGGUAUAUAUACAGGUUAGUAUACAGUCAUAUAUUUCUUAUCCCUAUCCACUGAGAGGGCCUAGAAACAACAAUACUCCAGUAGCAACACACACAUCUCGUGCCCAUAUCUUGAUUUCUUUUGCCAUUUCCUAACAAAAGGAGCCAGGACUUCUUGGAGAAAUGGCUGAUUCUAAGACUGGGUCAGAGAGUAUACCAGAUGACGCUGGCACAUCUUCUACUGCUAGAAAGUAAGGAAAUGCUCAAAAAAUAAAACCACGGAGAUAUUUCAAAGGAACACAGAAGCCAAGUGGAACAGCUCCCAGUGGCCAAAGCUGGAAAAAUUGGGGCAAAAAAAAAAAAAAAAGUAUUAGGUUAUAAUCCAAAAUAUAAAAUAAAUAAUCACCAGCCCGUACUAAUGUGCAUAAAUUAUUGAAUAAAUAAGUAAAUGGGUGAAAAGAGAAAACUCUCUCCCAUACAAAGGAAGCCCAAAUAAUUUAUGUAGAUGAUCGCCCUGCAAUGAGGCAGAGGGCAACUCCCUACCCUGUGUUAAGUGUGGAUGGCACUUAGAGACUUGCUUCUGAAGAGCGCAAUACGGAAAGGAGGGGAGAAGUAACUUGGCAAUGAAGAAACCUGACAAACACCAUCUUCUCCAGGCAGCCAAGGUUAACACCAUCAGUGAUAAGUUACGUUGAUAGCCUGUAUUUUUGAUAUGAUGUGUUGAGAAUGUACUUAGUUUCUGUGGUCUUCUUCCCAAACACCUGACACCAGGCUCACCAGGAGAAAAUGAAUCCAAAUUAAGGGACAUUCUACAGAAUACCUGACCAACACUCCCUCCUAAAAACUGUCAAGGUCAUCAAGGAAUGUCUAGGAAGAAGGAAAGUCUGAGAAGUUGUCUCAGCCCAGAGGAGCCUUAAGAAGCCAUGACAGGGUCUCCAUCUGCCUCCCAGGCUGGAGUACAGCGG